rnacentral:rRNA from 1 species
GAUGAACGCUGGCGGCGUGCCUAAUACAUGCAAGUCGUGCGAACAGACGAGGAGCUUGCUCCUCUGACGUUAGCGGCGGACGGGUGAGUAACACGUGGAUAACCUACCUAUAAGACUGGGAUAACUUCGGGAAACCGGAGCUAAUACCGGAUAAUAUAUUGAACCGCAUGGUUCAAUAGUGAAAGACGGUUUUGCUGUCACUUAUAGAUGGAUCCGCGCCGCAUUAGCUAGUUGGUAAGGUAACGGCUUACCAAGGCAACGAUGCGUAGCCGACCUGAGAGGGUGAUCGGCCACACUGGAACUGAGACACGGUCCAGACUCCUACGGGAGGCAGCAGUAGGGAAUCUUCCGCAAUGGGCGAAAGCCUGACGGAGCAACGCCGCGUGAAUGAUGAAGGUCUUCGGAUCGUAAAACUCUGUUAUUAGGGAAGAACAAAUGUGUAAGUAACUAUGCACGUCUUGACGGUACCUAAUCAGAAAGCCACGGCUAACUACGUG